rnacentral:rRNA from 1 species
GUGGGGAAUAUUCCGCAAUGGACGAAAGUCUGACGGAGCAACGCCGCGUGAGUGAUGAAGGUUUUCGGACUGUAAAGCUCUGUUGUUUAGGACGAAAGUGCCUGUUGCAAAUAGUUACAGGUAUUGACGGUACUGAACGAGGAAGCCACGGCUAACUACGUGCCAGCAGCCGCGGUAAUACGUAGGUGGCAAGCGUUGUCCGGAAUUAUUGGGCGUAAAGAGCAUGUAGGCGGGAAUCUAAGUCUGUUGUGAAAAUGCGGGGCUCAACCCCGUAUUGCGAUGGAAACUGGGUUUCUUGAGUGCAGGAGAGGAAAGGGGAAUUCCCAGUGUAGCGGUGAAAUGCGUAGAUAUUGGGAGGAACACCAGUGGCGAAGGCGCCUUUCUGGACUGUGUCUGACGCUGAGAUGCGAAAGCCAGGGUAGCGAACGGGAUUAGAUACCCCGGUAGUCC